rnacentral:rRNA from 1 species
UACGGGGGGGGCAAGCGUUGUUCGGAAUUACUGGGCGUAAAGGGCUCGUAGGUGGCCAACUAAGUCAGACGUGAAAUCCCUCGGCUUAACCGGGGAACUGCGUCUGAUACUGGAUGGCUAGAGAUUGGGAGAGGGAUGCGGAAUUCCAGGUGUAGCGGUGAAAUGCGUAGAUAUCUGGAGGAACACCGGUGGCGAAGGCGGCGUCCUGGACCAACACUGACGCUGAGGAGCGAAAGCCAGGGGAGCAAACGGG